UACAGAGGGUGCAAGCGUUUGUUCGGAAUUACUGGGCGUAAAGGGCGCGUAGGCGGUUUAGCAAGUCAGAUGUGAAAGCCCAGGGCUUAACCCUGGAAGUGCAUUUGAAACUGCUAGACUAGAGUGCAGUAGAGGUUGGUGGAAUUCCCAGUGGAGAGGUGAAAUUCGUAGAUAUUGGGAGGAACACCGGUGGCGAAGGCGGCCAACUGGGCUGUAACUGGACGCUGAGGCGCGAGAGCGUGGGUAGCAAACAGGA
rnacentral:rRNA from 1 species